GCAGUGUCCUCCCCCCCCCUUUAAAAUCCCUUUCUCAUACUCUGCAAACUCGUUCUGGCACCUCCAGGAGGAUGCCUUUAACUGGCUCUUUAAGCAGGGAGACUUGCUCCAUCUGAGGGCAAACAGCGAGCGAGGGCGAGGCUUCCGAGUCCCCUGCCUCACUGAGUCCGCAAAAACACGUGCGUGGAGUUGGGGAAGGCUGGGCUGGAAGGCUGGCUUGACGAGGCGGCGGCGGCGGCGGCUCGAGCAGGGAGCAGUCAGCAGUAGCAGCAGCAUCAUUGCGGCUCCUCCCUUCAGGUAGAGACAGCACAAGGCAACCAGCCGCGGCAGGAGUGAAGGCGAAGCUGCUCCCAUUACCCCUUUCUUGACUGUUGUGUUUGGCUCUUCGGCAAGGGAGCUAGAAAACAGGCACGGCUGAGAAUUCAAUAAUGCAAUGGCUGAAGAACAAGGGAGUUUCAGAGUAGCUGGACGGAUAUCUUGGAUUUUAACAACAAUUCUGAUGGUAUGGAGUGAUUAUGGCAAUGGUCAAGAGAUUUGUGUGUGUGUAUAUGCAGAAGCAUCCAUAUAUGGGGACCUCUCACUGAAGUUUGAAGUAGUGCAAGAAACAAGUCCAAAAACAAGUUUACUGCUUCAUCUGCUGUUUGUAUGAAUUAAGCCACUUUGUACUAAACAUAUCAAAUGGAUUAUUCAGGGAACUCCAACAUACCCAAAGAAACACUUGUGACCACCUCCUGCCUUUAUUAAUAGACAGUAGAACUGUGGUAUUAUCAAAAUAUCCUGUCCAUUUCCCCUUUUGUAAAAUGUCUAUUAAAUUGUGAACCAUUAUUUCGAA